GAAAAUCGGGAACUGCCUGCGGGGAUACCGCCAGAGGUGUGAAAUUGUUGCUCCGGUGCAGGCUUUUACUGGAGUCCUCAGCAGUUCUGAUUCGAACUGCCAUCACGUCCCCGGAAAAUCCAGUCAUACCGGAUCCUACCGGACAGGAGGAGGCCAUUCGGUCUCUGUGCUGGCCCUUCGAAAGAAAUUAGCCCCGCUCUCUUUAGAGUGUUACCGCAAGAAAACAAAUCGCAGGCUGACAGAUGUGGACUUUGAUAAUAAAUUUACUUUGGACUUUGAACUUCUCCCAAGAGAAAAGUCAAGCAAUCAGUGUAAUGGGAGACCAUGUUCUCGUCACCCCUUUUGGAUGUGGUCAAAAACGCCCUGUACGUUCAUCGUCAGUCCUGUCAGAGCUCUGGGCUCUGGAAUCUGUGGGUCUGGACACAGGCAAGAAUGAGCUACAGCUACUAUUUGGAGAAGAAGAUCAAAGAGAUUAAAUGUUCAAAGGCUGAGGCUAAAGUUCAAGGCUCCAGAGGUCAUGAAAACGUGUGGAGAAUAUACUGGUUGGUUGCAUCACGGCCUGGUAUGGAGACACCAAUGCCCUUGGACAGAAAAGCCAACAAGGAGUUGUGGAUACAGCCCAAUCUGUCACGAGUAAAGCCUUCCCCACCAUG